rnacentral:rRNA from 1 species
AUUGAACGCUGGCGGCAUGCCUUACACAUGCAAGUCGAACGGCAGCGGGGACUUCGGUCCGCCGGUGAGUGGCGAACGGGUGAGUAAUAUAUCGGAACGUACCUUUCAGUGGGGGAUAACGUAGCGAAAGUUACGCUAAUACCGCAUAUUCUGUGAGCAGGAAAGCAGGGGAUCUUCGGACCUUGCGCUGAUUGAGCGGCCGAUAUCAGAUUAGCUAGUUGGUGAGGUAAAGGCUCACCAAGGCGACGAUCUGUAGCGGGUCUGAGAGGAUGAUCCGCCACACUGGAACUGAGACACGGUCCAGACUCCUACGGGAGGCAGCAGUGGGGAAUUUUGGACAAUGGGGGCAACCCUGAUCCAGCCAUGCCGCGUGAGUGAAGAAGGCCUUCGGGUUGUAAAGCUCUUUCGGCCGGGAAGAAAUCGCACGGGUUAAUACCCCGUGUGGAUGACGGUACCUGGAUAAGAAGCACCGGCCAACUACGUGCCAGCCGCCGCAGUAA